rnacentral:rRNA from 1 species
CGGCAUGCCUUACACAUGCAAGUCGAACGGUAACAGGUCUUCGGAUGCUGACGAGUGGCGAACGGGUGAGUAAUACAUCGGAACGUGCCUAGUAGUGGGGGAUAACUACUCGAAAGAGUGGCUAAUACCGCAUGAGAUCUACGGAUGAAAGCAGGGGAUCGCAAGACCUUGUGCUACUAGAGCGGCCGAUGGCAGAUUAGGUAGUUGGUGGGAUAAAAGCUUACCAAGCCGACGAUCUGUAGCUGGUCUGAGAGGACGAUCAGCCACACUGGGACUGAGACACGGCCCAGACUCCUACGGGAGGCAGCAGUGGGGAAUUUUGGACAAUGGGCGCAAGCCUGAUCCAGCAAUGCCGCGUGCAGGAUGAAGGCCUUCGGGUUGUAAACUGCUUUUGUACGGAACGAAAAGCCCUGGGUUAAUACCCUGGGGUCAUGACGGUACCGUAAGAAUAAGCACCGGCUAACUACGUGCCAGCAGCCGCGGUAAUACGUAGGGUGCGAGCGUUAAUCGGAAUUACUGGGCGUAAAGCGUGCGCAGGCGGUUUUGUAAGACAGAGGUGAAAUCCCCGGCUCAACCUGGGAACUGCUUUGUGACUGCAAGGCUAGAGACGGCAGAGGGGGAUGGAAUUCCGCGUGUAGCAGUGAAAUGCGUACAUAUGCGGAGGACACCGAUGGCGAA